rnacentral:snoRNA from 1 species
CCCAUGGAUCAUGAAGAUCUCAUUGAGAAAAUUCUUGACGGACUUGAUGAUGAAUAUAAGCCUAUUGUUGACAUUAUUGAAGGUCGUGAAACACCAAUCACGUUUGACGAACUUCACGAAAAAUUGAUC